CUACGGGAGGCAGCAGUGGGGAAUAUUGGACAAUGGGCGCAAGCCUGAUCCAGCCAUGCCGCGUGAGUGAUGAAGGCCCUAGGGUUGUAAAGCUCUUUCGCCGGUGAAGAUAAUGACGGUAACCGGAGCAGAAGCCCCGGCUCACUUCGUGCCAGCAGCCGCGGUAAUACGAAGGGGGCUAGCGUUGUUCGGAAUUACUGGGCGUAAAGCGCACGUAGGCGGACAUUUAAGUCAGGGGUGAAAUCCCGGGGCUCAACCCCGGAACUGCCUUUGAUACUGGAUGUCUCGAGUCCGGAAGAGGUGAGUGGAACGCCGAGUGUAGAGGUGAAAGUCGUAGAUAUUCGGAAGAACACCAGUGGCGAAGGCGGCUCACAGGUCCGGUACUGACGCUGAGGUGCGAAAGCGUGGGGAGCAAACAGGAUUAGAAACCCCGGUAGUCC
rnacentral:rRNA from 1 species